UAUAAUAUAUAAUAUCAACAUAAUAUUAUAUAUAUAUAACAUUGACAUAAUAUAUUGAUGGUAUAUUGAUAUAUCAAUUUUUCUGUUAAAUUGAGGGGUAUUUUUGUCUUUAAGUUUCAACCUAGGAUCACUGCCAUGGGGUGAUCUUGGAUUUUCGACCUCAAGGACGGGUAUCCCAUCACCGAAUUGGACAGUGAUUUGAGGAGUGGAGGUGAUUUAGGAUCACCGCCACGUAGGAUCACCGUGGUGCAAUAAAAUGCGGUGAUUUCAUCACCUCCACCCACAUCACCCUUGAUCCUGGGACGAUCAUUCCAUACCAAACGCCCUCUAUAUGUUGCAUUAGACUACCCAAACAAGUGAUCAUAAUUAUAACCUUGCAACCAAUAUAUUAAUUAGAUGCUAGCAACCAAAAUCUUUUACCAAGGAUGACACAACUCAAUGAUUGACAUACUAGGACUCAAUACUUAUACCGGUAGGUUAUUAGUAAUGGUACAAAUUAGUAUAGUAAUAUACUAAAGCAUAGUAUGACUAUUGGUUCCAGCACAGCAAAAGUGUUCAUGAGCCGCACAGCCCACCCGAUCCACUCAAGCUUGGAACAUUUCGGAUGGGCCUGAGCUUGAAUUUUUAGCCCGACAAACCAGGUCAUGCCUAAAAUAUGAGCCUGCCUAUUAAAUAGGUUGGGCUCGAGUUUAGAUUAGCCCAGUUAGAUGCGGAUCUUAUAAAAAUAUAAUACAUAUCACAAAUGGAUGCCCUAGCCCACCAUUAGAUCAUAGAUUUAGGUGUUCAACAUCAAUUGAGGGCAUCUCCUCACCAAGACAACGCCUCUGGCCAUCGAGCAUCGUCCAACGGCCUCUCGAUUUUGUCAACGACCCCAACUGUUGUAUUUGAGGUUGUAGCAGUCCUCGGUGCUAGGAUCUAUCCACUUCAACUGCUUCCCACUUUCUUACAGGAUCAACAACUAAGGAUUGGUGGGGCCUUCAGAAAGGAGGUGCAGACCAUAGGUGCCAAAGGAGGCAUAGACUUAAGGUAAAAUCCCAGAGCAUCGCAUCUUGAGAAGCAAGUGAAACGAGGUCCUCACAUACCACCAGGGCUAGCCCGAGCCUUAGGCAACCGAGGCGGUCGCCUAAGGCCUCGGCCCAAAGGAAGGCCUCCAGGAGGCAAAGAGAAGAUAACCAUAGAAGGAAGGGAGAAGGCAAAAAGUCAUCGACUUGCGAUGAAAUAAAGAGAGGAGAGGAGAGAACGAGAUUGAGAGAGAGAGAGCGGGGGGAGGAAGGUUUCUUGCCUUGUUUUCUGUGUCUGACUGUGACCAAAAGGAAGCAAAGGCCCCAUAUAAAAUGGGAACAGGAGCUGGCUAU
rnacentral:lncRNA from 1 species